UUUACCGCCAAAUACGCAUGCGUCCAAGGUCUAUUCAACUUCUCGCACCAGUCGCGCCUCCGAUUAACUGUGCCUUCGUCGGUUGUGCCUCCAAUCAACGGUGCCUCUAUCAGUCUCUCACAUCGGUCACGUCGCACGUCUCUCACGCCGGUCACUCACUUCGUCGCACGGCUCUCUCUCUUUAGCACCGUCACGCCAUUCAAACGUGCACGUCCAGACUCACCUAGUUCUGUCACGCCGCUGCCACUCGUCAACCUCUACCGUAGCUCCUCUAUCGUUCCAAGUCACACCUGAUGCAUUUCUGUUUCUAUCAAUGCUGGGGGUUACACUUCAGUGAGCUUGUUCAGACCGGGACAUCUGUACUGCCACUUGUCCUGAUACUGGAAUGCGACAAUUGGGACUUCACAUUUUAUGCAAAUGAAUAACUGGGCUUUGUUGUACUUUACGAACUAAAUUUGCUCAGAAUGUGUAAAUGAUCACUCCUUUUACUGGCCUCUGGCGUGCGGAUCAAACUAGGUGGAAGAAAGGAGGAUGUUCAAGUAUCAAUCUUAAGGAAAACAAGAAUUCACCCGGUUUUUGUAUUGCAAGGUAAAUACUGGUAAGUUUCCAUUCUUCACAAAUUCUGAAUCGACCAUAUUUUCUUGUCGUCUGAUCUGACUCCCUACAUGAAGUUAAAGGCCAUAUUUUUCACCAAUGGUUUUACAAAAAAAAUUGAUGUUUUCUUUUUCGGUUAUGUCGAUUUUGGA